rnacentral:rRNA from 1 species
UGUGUAGGUGGUUUCUUAAGUGAGAUGUGAAAGCCCCGGGCUUAACCUGGGAAUGGCAUUUCAUACUGAGAGACUAAGUGUGUAAGAGGGGAAAGCGGAAUGGCGAGUGGAGCAGUGAAAUGCGUUGAUAUUCGUUGGAACACCAGAGGCGAAGGCGGCUUUCUAGCUUAUCACAGACACUAAGGCACUAAAGCGUGGGGAGCAAACAGGAUUAGAUACCCUGGUAGUCCACGCCCUAAACGAUGAGUGCUCGAUGUUGGAUGUUUUAGACAUUCAGUAUCUUAGCUAACGCGUUAAGCACUCCGCCUGGGGAGUACGGUCGCAAGAUUAAA